UGGUACUGGAGAAGGACUGCGCUGCAAAAC
rnacentral:piRNA from 1 species